rnacentral:misc_RNA from 1 species
UCAUAGCUCCUAUUCUCUUCAUUAAUAACAACAGGCAGAGCAGAACCUACGUAUUCCAAGGAUUCCAUGCAAUCCACAAAAUUAUGAUAAGACUACUGUGAUCUUCAAAGGAAAGCCAUGAACUGAAGAAAUUACCAUACAGCUAUAAUCACUGCAUUCAUUGAGCAUUCCUUCUUCAUAACAAAAAGCCCUUAGCUACAGAUGUCCAUUAUGUUUUUUGACCUUCUUCAUACUUCGAUUGUUUCAAGUCAUAUGGAAACAGUGGGAAGGGCUGAAAAUGAAUACUAAGAGAAAUUUUGGUGACGUCACAAUAUCCAAG